rnacentral:lncRNA from 1 species
UUUAACUUCAUCUCCAGUACAGCCUUCAGGAAUUAACUACUGACAACCUCAAUAAAAUCAAAAGGCCCCUAAAAUUCACGAGCUUAAAUCCAUAUUUGUAAACCAUAAAUUUUCUAAUCAGAUUCGGCAUGACACCUAAUAUCCAGAAACAGCAUCUCUUCACAUCCAGGAUUCCAAUUCAAAGCAACCCACUCAAUAAAAAAAGGGUAUCCAUAAAGAAUACAGG